rnacentral:rRNA from 1 species
AGAGGCGAUGAAGGGCGUGCUAAUCUGCGAUAAGCGCCGGUAAGGUGAUAUGAACCGUUAUAACCGGCGAUACCCGAAUGGGGAAACCCAGUGUGACUCGUCACACUAUCAUUAACUGAAUCCAUAGGUUAAUGAGGCGAACCGGGGGAACUGAAACAUCUAAGUACCCCGAGGAAAAGAAAUCAACCGAGAUUCCCCCAGUAGCGGCGAGCGAACGGGGAGGAGCCCAGAGCCUGAAUCAGCAUGUGUGUUAGUGGAAGCGUCUGGAAAGGCGCGCGAUACAGGGUGACAGCCCCGUACACAAAAGCGCAUGUGCUGUGAGCUCGAUGAGUAGGGCGGGACACGUGGUAUCCUGUCUGAAUAUGGGGGGACCAUCCUCCAAGGCUAAAUACUCCUGACUGACCGAUAGUGAACCAGUACCGUGAGGGAAAGGCGAAAAGAACCCCGGCGAGGGGAGUGAAAAAGAACCUGAAACCGUGUACGUACAAGCAGUGGGAGCCCCACCACCAAAGCAUUUGCUGUACCGCGUUGACGGAGCGAAGCGACGUCAAACCGAUAAAACAGCAGUGUAAAGUGAGCCGCAGGGCGCUUUGCGCGACAGCGCAAAGGCAGGCGGUUUCGCGUAGCGAAAGCGAAUGCUUUGGGGUGGGGUGACUGCGUACCUUUUGUAUAAUGGGUCAGCGACUUAUAUUCUGUAGCAAGGUUAACCGAAUAGGGGAGCCGGAGGGAAACCGAGUCUUAAUUGGGCGUUAAGUUGCAGGGUAUAGACCCGAAACCCGGUGAUCUAGCCAUGGGCAGGUUGAAGGUUGGGUAACACUAACUGGAGGACCGAACCGACUAAUGUUGAAAAAUUAGCGGAUGACCUGUGGCUGGGGGUGAAAGGCCAAUCAAACCGGGAGAUAGCUGGUUCUCCCCGAAAGCUAUUUAGGUAGCGCCUCGUGAAUUCAUCUCCGGGGGUAGAGCACUGUUUCGGCUAGGGGGCCAUCCCGGCUUACCAACCCGAUGCAAACUGCGAAUACCGGAGAAUGUUAUCACGGGAGACACACGGCGGGUGCUAACGUCCGUCGUGAAGAGGGAAACAACCCAGACCGCCAGCUAAGGUCCCAAAGUCAUGGUUAAGUGGGAAACGAUGUGGGAAGGCCCAGACAGCCAGGAUGUUGGCUUAGAAGCAGCCAUCAUUUAAAGAAAGCGUAAUAGCUCACUGGUCGAGUCGGCCUGCGCGGAAGAUGUAACGGGGCUAAACCAUGCACCGAAGCUGCGGCAGCGACACUGUGUGUUGUUGGGUA